AUUAUUUAAAUACUUUCUGUAAAUAAUUCAGUAACUGCCUUUAUGAACCUAUAUCAGUAAAUUCAAGCGAUUCUAUAACAAUUGUCAGAACAAUUUUAAACUUUAGGCAAUAUCAACAGCAAUGAAAAAAGCGAAAAUCAGUGUUCGAGGCCAGCGGCUGUCAAUCAAGGUUGCACGGCGAUUUGGCUACUAAAGUAGCUUUGUCUAUCAGCACGUGUGCAUAAUAGCCCAGGUACGUAUCUCAAAUGUUUCUCUCAAUUUAAUUUCCCCGGUCUCAAAAUCAUGGAACGUCAACUCUGGUUAUAUUAUGUUAUUGUUUGAUGUGCAAUGGUCACAUCAUUCCCGAUCUCUGUCUAGUGGAACGCCAAACUUACAUAUCCUAUAUCUACUCGACUACACCUCUUACAUAACCUGUUAAAUAGUAGACAGCUUUUUAAUAGGGCAUUUUUCAUGCAGAUUCAUUCAAUCCAACCACACCUCAACAAGACCUAUUCGUUAUCAAUAGGACAUUUUACUUGCAGAUUCGGUUCAUCUAUAAUUCAACUAUAACCACACCUCCACAAGACCUAUUCGAUCGUACACAACGUAUCAAUAGGACAUUUUACAUGCAGAUUCGGUUCAUCUAUAAUUCAACUAUAACCACACCUCCACAAGACCUAUUCGAUCGUACACAACGUAUCAAUAGGACAUUUUACAUGCAGAUUCGGUUCAUCUAUAAUUCAACUAUAACCACACCUCCACAAGACCUAUUCGAUCGUACACAACGUAUCAAUAGGACAUUUUACAUGCAGAUUCGGUUCAUCUAUAAUUCAACUAUAACCACACCUCCACAAGAAAGACCUAUUCGAUCGUACACAACGUAUCAAUAGGACAUUUUACAUGCAGAUUCGGUUCAUCUAUCACCACAUUCAUUCGUAUGAAAUUCUCAUUGAAUUUCCAACAUCCAUAAUCGUGUCCUUUAUAUGUUAAAACACAGCCUCUAUUUAACGUCACCUCUAUACACAAACCUAAUAUAUAUAUAAUUUGGACAGUUUUCUAUGCAGAUUUGCAAAAUGUUGCGUAUAAUCUUUCAAGUCAGCCUGAUAAAAUAUUGAACCAUUUGUGUACCAAGAUAUCUUGAAAUAUGAUAUUAGGUCUGUAUGUAAGCAAUUCUUCCUUUGGCCGCCUCUCCUUCCAGUUCUCUGCUGUUAAUGACUGGAACGAACUACAAAAAUCUCUGAAACUGGAAAAACUUACCUCCCUCACUAGCUUUAAGCACCAGCUGUCAGAGCAGCUCACCGAUUACUGCACCUGUACAUAGCCAUCUAUAAUUUAGCCCAAACAACUACCUCUUCCCCUACUGUAUUUAUUUUGCUCCUUUGCGCCCCAUUAUUUCUAUUUCUACUUUGCACAUUCUUUCAUUGCAAACCUACCAUUCCAGUGUUUUACUUGCUAUAUUGUAUUUACUUCGCCACCAUGGCCUUUUUUUUGCCUUCCUUAUCUCACCUCACUUGCUCACAUUGUAUAUAGACUUAUUUUUCUACUGUAUUAUUGACUGUAUGGUUGUUUUACUCCAUGUGUAACUCAGUGUUGUUGUAUGUGUCGCUAACAUUUACAAUAGCAAAUGUCAAUUUACAACAAAAAAAAAGACAUUUUCGUCUUUUGAGCUUCUAGUCAUGAAAUCUAUGCAGCCAACUCAAUCACUUUUUAUAGCUACUGUUUACAGGCCUCCUGGGUCAUAUACAGCGUUCCUCAUUGAGUUCCCUGAAUUCCUAUCGGACCCUGUAGUCAUAGCAGAUAAUAUUCUAAUCUUUGGUGACUUUAAUAUUCACAUCGAAAAGUCCACAGACCCACUCCAAAAGGCUUUUGGAGCCAUCAUCGACUCAGUGGGUUUUGUCCAACAUGUCUCUGGACCUACUCACUGUCGCAGUCAUAUCCUGGACCUAGUUUUAUCCCAUGGAAUAAAUGUUGUGGAUCUUAUUGUUUUUCCUCAUAAUCCUGGACUAUCCGACCACCAUUUUAUUACGUUUGCAAUUGCAACAAAUAAUCUGCUCAGACCCCAACCAAGGAACAUCAAAAGUCGUGCUAUAAAUUCACAGAUAACACAAAGAUUCCUUGAUGUCCUUCCAGACUCCCUCUGUCUACCCAAGGACGCCAGAUGACAAAAAUCAGUUAACCACCUAACUGAGGAACUCAAUUGAACCUUGCGCAAUACCCUAGAUGCAGUUGCACCCCUAAAAACUAAAAACAUUUCUCAUAAGAAACUAGCUCCCUGGUACACAGAAAAAACCCGAGCUCUGAAGCAAGCUUCCAGAAAAUUGGAACCGAAAUGGCGCCACACCAAACUGGAAGUCUUCCGACUAGCUUGGAAAGACAGUACCAUGCAGUAUCGAAGAGCCCCCCCACUGCUCCUCGAUCAUCCUAUUUUUCCAACUUAAUUGAGGAAAAUAAGAACAAUAUGAAAUUCCUUUUUGAUACUGUCGCAAAGCUAACUAAAAAGCAGCAUUCCCCAAGAGAGGAUGGCUUUCACUUCAGCGGUAAUAAAUUCAUGAACUUCUUUGAGGAAAAGAUCACGAUUAUUAGAAAGCAAAUUACGGACUCCUCUUUAAAUAUGCAGAUUCCUUCAAUGCUCAGUUGUCCUGAGCCUGCACAACUCUGCCAGGACCUAGGAUCAAGAGAGACACUCAAGUGUUUUAAUACUAUAUCUCUUGACAAAUGAUGAAAAUUAUCAUGGCCUCUAAACCUUCAAGCUGCAUACUGGACCCUAUUCCAACUAAACUACUGAAAGAGCUGCUUCCUGUGCUUGGCCCUCCUAUGUUGAACAUAAUAAACGGCUCUCUAUCCACCGGAUGUGUACCAAACUCACUAAAAGUGGCAGUAAAGCCUCUCGAGGCCAAACCUUGACCCAGAAAGUAUAAAAAACUAUCGGCCUAUAUCAAAUCUUCCAUUCCGCUCAAACAUUUUCGAGAAGGCUGUUGAGCAGCAACUCACUGCCUUCCUGAAGACAAACAAUGUAUACGAAAUGCUUCAGUCUGGUUUUAGACCCCAUCAUAGCACUGAGACUGCACUUGUGAAGGUGGUAAAAUACCUUUUAAUGGCAUCAGACCGAGGCUCUGCAUCUGUCCUCGUGCUCCUAGACCUUAGUGCUGCUUUUGAUACCAUCGAUCAUCACAUUCUUUUGGAGAGAUUGGAAACCCAAAUUGGUCUACACGGACAAGUUCUGGCCUGGUUAAGAUCUUAUCUGUCGGAAAGAUAUCAGUUUGUCUCUGUGAAUGGUUUGUCCUCUGACAAAUCAACUGUAAAGUUUGGUGUUCCUCAAGGUUCUGUUUUAGGACCACUAUUGUUUUCACCAUAUAUUUUACCUCUUGGGGAUGUCAUUCAAAAACAUAAUGUUAACUUUCAAUGCUAUGCGGAUGACACACAUAAUGCAUUUCAAUGAAACAUGGUGAAGCCCCAAAAUUGCCCUCGCUAGAAGCAUGUGUUUGACAUAAGGAAGUGGAUGGCUGUAAAUGUUCUACUUUUAAACUCAGACAAAACAGAGAUGCUUGUUCUAGGUCCCAAGAAACAAAGAGAUCUUCUGCUGAAUCUGACAAUUAUCUUAAUGGUUGUACAGUCGUCUCAAAUAAAACUGUGAAGGACCUCGGUGUUACUCUGGACCUUGAUCUCUCUUUUGAAGAACAUAUCAAGACUUUUUCAAGGACAGCUUUUAUCCAUCUACGUAACAUUGCGAAAAUCAGAAACUUUCUGUCCAAAAAUGAUGCAGAAAAAUUUAUCCAUGCUUUUGUUACUUCUAGGAUAGACUACUGCAAUGCACUACUUUCUGGCUACCCGGAUAAGCACUAAAUAAACUUCAGUUAGUGCUAAAUACGGCUACUAGAAUCCUGACUGGAACCAAACAAUUUGAUCAUAUUACUCCAGUGCUAGCCUCUCUACACUGGCUUCAUGUCAAGGCAAGGGCUGAUUUCAAGGUUUUACUGCUAACCUACAAAGCAUUCCAUGGGCUUGCUCCUACCUAUCUCUCUGAUUUGGUCCUGCCGUACAUGCCUACACAUACGCUACGGUCACAAGAUGCAGGCCUCCUAAUUGUCCCUAGAUUUCUAAGCAAACAGCUGGAGCAGGGCUUUCUCCUAUAGAGCUCCAAACUCAUGUGAAGGUGAACGGAAAGGCUCUGGAGCAAUGAACCGCCCUUGCUGUCUCUGCCUGGCCAGUUCCCCUCUUUCCACUGGGAUUCUCUGCCUCUAACCCUAUUACAGGGGCUGAGUCACUGGCUUUACUAGGGCUCUUUCAUACCGUCCCUAGGAGGGGUGCAUCAUUUGAGUGGGUUGAGUCACUGAUGUGAUCUUCCUGUCUGGGUUGGCGCCCCCCUGGUUUGUGCCGUGGUGGAGAUCUUUGUGGGCUAUACUCGGCCUUGUCUCAGGAUGGUAAGUUGGUGGUUGAAGAUAUCCCUCUAGUGGUGUGGGGGCUGUGCUUUGGCAAAGUGGGUGGGGUUAUAUCCUUCCUGUUUGGCCCUGUCCGGGGGUAUCAGCCGAUGGGGCCACAGUGUCUCCUGACCCCUCCUGUCUCAGCCUCCAGUAUUUAUGCUGCAGUAGUUUAUGUGUCGGGGGGCUAGGGUCAGUUUGUUAUAUCUGGAGUACUUCUCCUGUCCUAUCCGGUGUCCUGUGUGAAUUUAAGUAUGCUCUCCCUAAUUCUCUCUUUCUCUCUCUCGGAGGCCCUGAGCCCUAGGACCUUGCCUCAGGACUACCUGACAUGAUGACUCCUUGCUGUCCCUAGUCCACCUGGCCGUGCUGCUGCUCCAGUUAACUGUCCUGCCUGUGAUUAUUAUUAUUUGACCAUGCUGUCUUAUAGGACAGAACAUGGACACAAUGCAAUUGGGAUCAAGAAGAAGAAAUGAAUCAAGUCCAUGGAAUGGAUAUAGACAAAAAUAUAAUUCAAGGACUAUCAGAGGUAGAGAGGCGAGGCAGGGGAGAGGACAUCACCCUGCUAUUUUGACAGUCCCUUAAGGACAAUACAGAAAAGGUAUUUGCUCUUAUUCCUUCCCUUUCUCUAAUGUAUUUUGUCCUAAACUUAACAAGUGUAGUAAGAUCAUUGCUUUACUUUACUAGGACUGGAGACUACAGCAGUGAUUCUGCUCUUGCCCUAUCGCUUCAAAGAGGUCCCGAGUGGCCUUUAUGUCCAUGACAAGAUUUCACCGCUCUUCACUCCUUUGCUGCACAUCGGCGGAAAUCCAUUUCACCAUGAGUGAAAUCUCGCUGGCCUUUUAUGGGGAGAACAUCAACGCCCUGCAAACUUCCUAACAUAACUAAGUGAAUAUGAUAUACACACUAAAGCUUAAAAAAUCUGUAUUUAGCAUCAAGUCUACAAUAUUGUUCGUUUACCUAUGAUUCAUUUUUAAUGUAUGUUGUUUUUUAUUGUUUUAUUGUUUAUUUGAUUUAUUAUUGUAUUUUUAAAAUUCAUGAAAAGCACUAAACAAAGUAGUGGUAUUAUUCGUUAUGGUCUGACAUGUCGCAAUUUGGUAAUGUGUUUUGUUUGGUCAAUUGUUUUGUUAAUAUUAAUUCACAUUUGUGGUGCCACUAAAUAAAUAAUUAUUUAAGUCAA